AAGCACCGGCUAACUCCGUGCCAGCAGCCGCGGUAAUACGGAGGGUGCGAGCGUUAAUCGGAAUUACUGGGCGUAAAGCGCAUGCAGGUGGUUUGUUAAGUCAGAUGUGAAAGCCCGGGGCUCAACCUCGGAAUAGCAUUUGAAACUGGCAGACUAGAGUACUGUAGAGGGGGGUAGAAUUUCAGGUGUAGCGGUGAAAUGCGUAGAGAUCUGAAGGAAUACCGGUGGCGAAGGCGGCCCCCUGGACAGAUACUGACACUCAGAUGCGAAAGCGUGGGGAGCAAACAGGAUUAGAUACCCUGGUAGUCCACGCCGUAAACGAUGUCUACUUGGAGGUUGUGGCCUUGAGCCGUGGCUUUCGGAGCUAACGCGUUAAGUAGACCGCCUGGGGAGUACGGUCGCAAGAUUAAAACUCAAAUGAAUUGACGGGGGCCCGCACAAGCGGUGGAGCAUGUGGUUUAAUUCGAUGCAACGCGAAGAACCUUACCUACUCUUGACAUCCAGAGAACUUUCCAGAGAUGGAUUGGUGCCUUCGGGAACUCUGAGACAGGUGCUGCAUGGCUGUCGUCAGCUCGUGUUGUGAAAUGUUGGGUUAAGUCCCGCAACGAGCGCAACCCUUAUCCUUGUUUGCCAGCACUUCGGGUGGGAACUCCAGGGAGACUGCCGGUGAUAAACCGGAGGAAGGUGGGGACGACGUCAAGUCAUCAUGGCCCUUACGAGUAGGGCUACACACGUGCUACAAUGGCGCAUACAGAGGGCGGCCAACUUGCGAGAGUGAGCGAAUCCCAAAAAGUGCGUCGUAGUCCGGAUCGGAGUCUGCAACUCGACUCCGUGAAGUCGGAAUCGCUAGUAAUCGUGGAUCAGAAUGCCACGGUGAAUACGUUCCCGGGCCUUGUACACACCGCCCGUCACACCAUGGGAGUGGGCUGCAAAAGAAGUAGGUAGUUUAACCUUCGGGAGGACGCUUACCACUUUGUGGUUCAUGACUGGGGUGAAGUCGUAACAAGGUAGCGCUAGGGGAACCUGGCGC
rnacentral:rRNA from 1 species